rnacentral:rRNA from 1 species
UACGGAGGGUGCAAACGUUGCUCGGAAUCAUUGGGCGUAAAGCGCACGUAGGCGGACCGCUAAGUCAGAUGUGAAAGCCCUCGGCUUAACCGAGGAAGUGCAUUCGAAACUGACGGUCUUGAGUAUGGAAGAGGGUCGCGGAAUUCCCGGUGUAGAGGUGAAAUUCGUAGAUAUCGGGAGGAACACCAGUGGCGAAGGCGGCGACCUGGGCCAAUACUGACGCUGAGGUGCGAAAGCGUGGGGAGCAAACAGG